UUUGUAGGCUGAAAGCAAAUCCUUGAGAUAUUUGUGCAGAAGCGUCGUUGCAAAACAGAACCCGCAGUAGAACUAUGUCAUCUUUUGGUUCUAAGCGUGCCCCCUCAUUGCUGGCAGAUGGCAAGUAUUUAUUUGCUUGCUAGCUCUUUAGUGGAACUGGUCUUCUGUUUCCACUGUUGCCUCCUGUGACACAAACUGCCACCUAUCUCCCAAGGUUCUUUCUUUGUAACAGAACCCUAGUUUUUGGCUGGACUCAUUUCCCCAGUGGUAGAGGCUGCUGGCUGGUCAUGUCAUGAGCCCAGGUCUUCUUCUUGUGCACAACCAGAUGCCAUUUCUCAGCCUCCCUUGCAGUUAUAUGCAGCUGUGUGUUUGAGUUCUGGCCAUUAGUGAGUGGAAGUGAUGUGUCCCUUCUACUCACACUUCUGUAGUCCUGGCCUACAGAAACCCACGAUGGUUCUCUAUACUCUUUAUCUUUCCACAGCUUAAUGCAGAUAAGUAACAAGAUCUUGGAAGACAAGUGUUGAAGAUGAAAGAGGCACAAGAUAGAAGAAACCUGGGUCCUUAGAUCCUUGCUUGGAGGAAAACCACCUGCCAAUCCAGAGCAUCAUUUUGGACUUCAUUUCAUAUGAGGUAUUAUGUUACCAGUGAGCAGGGUCUAUGAUGAAUGUGUCUUUAGAACACCCAAUGAAGUGCCACUUGCCACAAGAAGCUAAAUCACAAUCUGAUGGCAAGGAAAGGCAACCAUUCUUCCUGCAGUUUUGUGCAUAAACCUUCCUGCCUCUCUGCUGGGGACCACCUAUGGGGAAAGGUAAACUUCUCUCUCAUGGCUCUCCUUUCCCAGGAAAACUUUAGCUCCUGUUGAGACCAGCACUUCCCUGGAGAAUGUGGAGUGAAGGGGUUAGGCCCAUCACAAUUUUCCAUUCAUGAUGUUGAAGGCAUUCAAGCAAGGCAUCACAUAGAAUCAAUAGAAACAGAAACAGCCCCACAUGUGAAGAAGGAGCCGUGCUGGAAUGAACAAGGCCUGCGGUAUGGGUGAGUUACACGGUACAGAGCACAGGGGCUGACUGCUUUUUGCCCUUCCAGGUGGGAUCAUUACUUGCCAGCCUUCCAGCUGAUGCCAGUGGCAACAGCACAACAGGCUGAACUGGAUUCUUUAUGACUAUGUACUCAUUAGGGGGAAAAAGCACUUCCAAUGCAAAUGAUUGAAAUGGAAACAAGAUGUGCACUCUGCUGCCUAAAUGAAAGCUCUACCAGGUAGGCCAUUCAAACUCAAUUAAGAGUAGCAAAACAGGAUCUAUCAGGACAGUGGCUGCAACCUCUGUCACAGAGAAUGGACAGUGAGCGGUCCAAAUGGAUUGGGGGGCAUGAAUGGCACCUGACUUACAGCAGGAGCUCAGCACUUUUACUCUCUUUGCCGCUUCACUGGAACAAGGAGAAAAAGACAUUAGGAUGAAGGAUAAUGUGUGAUACACACAUAAAGAUGAAAGCGAGAGGGACACAUGCAAUGUCACUUAUUGGAAGGACCACUUUAGGCUGCUCUGUCCUCUCUCCCCUGAAAACAUGUUCCACAUUGUUUUAACCAUCUGUGGCCCACUCUGAAGCUCAAGGAACCCUGACCUUUCUGCUUAAUUGUGAGCACAGCCAUAUGAAACUGCAAUCUGGCAGCUGAAGGGGAAAGUAUUUUUACUGUCUCCGCUGAGAAAGGGUUUGGAUGAAUCGAAUCCCCUGUUAUGCAUGGAAUUGUACCCUCUAGAAAGCUCUGUUGAAGACCCAAACCACGGUACCUGUGAAUGUGACCUUAUUUGAAAAUAUGGUCUUGUAGAUGUAAUCAAGCAAAGAUGAGGUGAUACUGAAUUAGGGUGGGCCUCCACCAACAUGACUGGUGUCCUUAUGAGAAGCAAGGAAGAGACAUAAGGAGAACAUGGUGUGACAAUUGAGACAGAGAUUGGAGUGAUGCAUCUACAAGCCAAAAAAUGUCAAGGGCCGUGAGCCGCACCAGAAGCUAAGAGAAGGGCAUGGGACUGACCCUCCCCUAGACCCAUCAGAAAGAGUCUGACCCUGGCGACACCUUGAUUUUGUACUUCUAGACUCCAGAAUUAUGAGAAUAAAUUUAUGUUGCUUUAAGCCACUCAGUUUGUGGUAAUUCGUUAUGACAGUUCUGAGAAACUAAUCCACCCUGCUAAAGAGUAAAUGUCUGAUGCAAAACUCACUACAUGGAUGAAAAGGCUGAGAUAUUCCGAAGAGUCAUAAUGAACUGUGCCGUCAUCUACAAAGGAAGUGCAGCACUGCAACAGCUCAAGAUAGAUCCUGGAGAUGUGGCAGGACAGAUGUGCCCACCAGACUAGGAGCACUUUCAGGACAGCAUCAUGCCUUGUUCUCCUCCACAUCCCUCCUUCUGUGCCUGAAAACCAGAAAUGCUCAAUUAAAUGUUGAAAAUAAAUUCAUAGGAAAAC